GGAAAGCAGAACUGCCUGACUCAACAACCCAUGGAGAUAUGAGAAGUGAUGAGUUGUCAUUGUCGUCUUAAGCCACAAGGUUGUGGGGUGGCUUGUUCCCCAGCACUGGAAAACAAAACCUGCUGAGACUUGAUUUCCUGGACGUUGGCCCAGCCAUGGGAAGAAGUGAAAGGCAUUUGUGACAUGGAGGCAUGAGAUGGCCACGUCCAGAUCAGCGCAGCUGAAGAAGCUCAUUGCCAAGCAAGGAGACGGAUCACCAAAGACAUCAUUUUACUGCUACUUGGCCUGUGCUGUGUGGAAGCUGUAUCCAUCAAGGAUCUCCAGAGGAAGAGACCAGUGGAGUAAAGGCAUAUUAAAAGGAGAUUCCCUGGACUGGCUUGCACGGCACAAGCUAGGAGGUCCAGCUAUGGCUGUCUGCAUUCUGGAGAGUCUGGAAACCCAGUAGCUCCCCCAGUUCAUGAAGCUGAAAACCUCAGCAGUCCCAAUAUGACACUGAAAACCUUGAGGAUCCCUGGAGAGUCCCUGGUCUUUGGUCUACAUUUGAAGGCUGAGAAGGCUGGGUUCUGGUGUCUGCAAAGACAGUGGCAGCUACAGAGUAGAUGCACUCACCAGCAGGGAAUGAAGGUGAGCAGGUAAAGAACGGUACUGCUUUUCCCCUCCAACCUCUUCAAACUUGGGUCACAAUCAGGGAAAGCUGCCCACUCUAGAGAAGGGUUGUCUACACUCAGUUAAUUGUUCCAGGAAAUACUCUCACAGAACUACCCAGAGGUGUGUCUAUUAGUUAAUUCCAGAUCCAAUCAAGUUGAUAACCAAGAUGAACCAUUACAAAAGCAAAUGCAUACUCCCAUGCAGAUCCCCUUGAUCCAUAGGAAGCUGACUAGAAAAAAAGAAUGAAACCCGUAUAAGGCCUGGAGGAUGGGCAGGAGUUUACCCCCUCUCUGCUUGAUGCUAUUCCUAGAGACCAGAUUGCAUAUUAGAUACUGAGGUCAAUGGAAAGCUUUUAAGAUUGUUCCUUUCAUUAAAACUUUCCACCCAGAGGUUUUAGAUAAAUGAGAAAACUAAGCCUUAAAUUAAGAGCUAGUCAGAAGUUUAAAAAAAUCCCACAAUCUAUGUCAUAAUAAUUUUGCGUCUUAGGUGCAUUUUAUCAUGCUCAAAAUAUGUAUGGGGGGGGUGAGGCCCAGUAUAUAAUGCUUGCCUCACAUGCACAAGGACCCAGGUUCCAUCUCCAGCACUGCAAAACAAACAAGCAAGCAAGCAAACAAACAAAAAAUAGUGUGAAGAGGUAUGGCCCCCAUAGAUUCAUGAUGUGAGUGCUUGGCCCAUAGGGAGUGGCACUAUUAAAAGGUGUGGCCUUGUUGGAGGAAGUGUGUAAUUGUGGAGGUGGGAUUUGAAGUCUCAAGUUAGGCCUAGUGUCACAGUCUCCUGCUGCCUGCAAGAUGUGGGAUUCUCAGCUCCUUCUCCAGCAUCAUGCCUGACUGUGUGCUGCCAUGUCAUACCAUAAUGGUAAUGAAUUAAACCUUUGAAAUUGUAAGCCAGCCCCCAUUUAAAUGUUUUCCUUUAUAAGAGUUGCCAUGGUCAUGGUGUCUCUUCACAGCAAAAAGGCCUCCCAGAAUCACAAAUCACUAAGAACUUUUAAUCUUGUUCUUCAUUUAGAUUUGGUUUUGUUUUUUUGAGGCAGGGUGUCAUGUAGUCUAGCUGUCCUUGAAUUUGCUAUAUAACCAUGGGUGACUUCAAACAUCUGAGUUCCAGUGUCCAUCUCCAAAGUGGAAGAGAUUACUAGUGUGGACCUCCAAGCCUUCCUUAUGUGGAUAGAGAUCAAAACCAGGGUUUCAUACACAUUAAACAAAUAUUCUACCCACUGAACUAUAUUCCCAGUCCCAUUAAGGACUUUUUUAGGAAAGCCCGCAGGCUAUCUAUAUCUAUUUUUUAAAUAGUUUUUUAAUGAUUUAUUUUUUUAUAUGCUUUGAUGUUUCACCUGCCUGCAUGUAUGUGCAAGGGUGUCAGAUCCCCUGGAACUAAACUACAGACAAUUUUGAGCAGUCAUGUGAGUGCUGGAAAUUGAACCCAGGUCCUCUAGAAGAGCAGCCAGCGCUCUACCCUGCUAAGCCAUCUCUCCAGCCCCUAUCUACAUCUAUUUUAAAGUAGAUGCUGCCUGUACAAUUUAUCUGUGAGCUCAGAGUUACAUCUCAGAAUCAUAACCUGCUUAUAUUAUCUGCAUAUUUGUCUCACUCCAUCUUGCACACCAGUGCCCCCAAGGGCUAGGCCAGGCAGGUUUUUUUCUUCUCUGACCCACGCCUAAGCAGGAACAAAGAUUCAAAAGCUAGACAAAAUUUCUUUUAUGUGUGUUUGUGGAACCAGUUAGUCUUCUCUCAGAGGUAAAUGAAGAUUGUGCCUGUAGAAAGGAAGGAGACGGAGUGGUGCCAGGAGCAGGUCAGAGGAGAUGGUUGACAGACCAGAGAUCCGUGAGGGAGAACAGAGAGGAUGAGUUCGCCAGUGCUGUAUCAGGACUCAGGACCAAUUGUGCUGCUGAUGGCACUUGAUGAUCAAGAGCCCUAGGUACCUGUCAGACCCACAGUCACAAGUGAGGGCUGCACCCACUUCAGAUGUCAUUUGCAAGCCACAGGAGCUGCUGGUCCUUGGCCAAAUGAGCUAUAAACCAAGAGUCCGACAAUCCCUAUCUUACUGUUUGAUGAUUUGUUAUAAUGUCUUACAGAGCCCAGGAAAACAGUUAUUUGUAUUUAGCAGUUUAUUAUAUUAUUAUUAUUAUUAUUAUUAUUAUUAUUAUAUUACAUUAUUAUUAUAAGGGUGUAAAUGGACUA
ensembl:lncRNA